rnacentral:miRNA from 1 species
CCUUAUCAUUCUCGCGCCCCGU